rnacentral:rRNA from 1 species
GCCAAGUAAGGGCAGGCGGUGGAUGCCUUGGCGCGGAGUGCCGAUGAAGGACGGUGCAGGCCACGAUAGGCUCUGGGGAGGCGCCAACAGCCGGUGAUCCAGAGAUUUCCGAAUGGGGAAACCCACGUGCGGUCAUGCGCACGUAUCCCGCACUGCGGGAAGGGCACCGGGGGAACUGAAACAUCUAAGUACCCCGAGGAGAAGAAAUCACCGAGAGACCGGUAGUAGUGGCGAGCGAACGCGGUCGAGUCCAAACCGAGCGACGCUUAACGGAUUUGCGUCCUAUGCCCGCUCGGGGUUGUACGGCCUUGCUUGGAGACGCGCAAACGGCUCCGCCAUGAUCACGCACGCUGACGGGAAUGACCUGGAAAGGUCGGCCGGAGGGAGUGAAAGCCUCGUACUGGAAGGCGUGCGUACGGGUUGCAGGGAUCGUGAGUACCACGGGGGAAGAGUAUCCCCGUGGGAAGCUGGGGCGACCACGCUCCAAGACUAGGGUACGCUCCGCGACCGAUAGUGAACGAGUACCGUGAGGGAAAGGUGAAAAGCACCCCGGUGAGGGGAGUGAAAUAGUCCCUGAAACCGUCUGCCUACAGUCAGUACGAGGGCGGUGUCCGCAAGGACUGCCUGAGUGCGUGCCUCUUGAAGAAUGAGCCGGCGAGUGAAUUGGCGUCGCAGGUUAAGGGCGGUGAACGUCCGGAGCCGAAGCGAAAGCGAGUGCGAAUAGCGCGUCUUGGUGGCGUCAAUUCGACCCGAAACCAGGUGAGCUACCCAUGGGCAGUGUGAAGGCUCGGUAACACGAGCUGGAGGCGCGGACCCACCAAUGUUGCAAAAUUGGGGGAUGACCUGUGGGUAGAGGAGAAAUUCCAAUCGAACCUGGAGAUAGCUGGUUCUCCCCGAAAUGGAUUGAGGUUCAGCCCGGUGCGAUCCGCUCGUAGGAGGUAGGGAACUGGAUGGGUGCGGGCCUUUAGCGGGUACCAAAUCCAAUCAAACCGCGAAUGCCUACGUGCGCAAUCCGGAGUGAGACGGCGGGUGCGAAGAUUCGUCGUCGAGAGGGAAACAGCCCAGACCGCCAGCUAAGGGCCCUAAGUGAAGGCUAUAGUGGUAAAGGAAGUCAGUGGUUCACAGACAACCAGGAGGUUGGCUUAGAAGCAGCCACCCUUGAAAGAGUGCGUAAUAGCUCACUGGUCGAGUGCCCUGGCGCCGACAAUGUAACGGGGCUAAGCCUUCUCCCGAAGCUGCGGGUGCAGUUUUUACUGCGCGGUAGGGGAGCGUUCCACGGGCGUUGAAGGUAGAUCGUGAGGACUGCUGGAGCGCGUGGAAGUGCGAAUGCCGGCAUGAGUAGCGCAUUGACCGUGCGAACCGGUCACACCGAAAGCCUAAGGGUUCCUGAGGACGGUCCAUCCACUCAGGGUUAGCCGGGCCUAAGCCGAGUCUGGUGUAGUGCCAGGGUAGGCGAUGGACAACGGGUUGAUAGUCCCGUGCCACCAGAAGAUCGUUAUUACCGACGCGGGGACCCGGGAGGUACCUGCUCGCGAAUCGAUGGCUUGUUCGUGUAAGCCUGUGACGUGCUGGGGAGUGAAGUCCUUCCCGGCUGACGGUUCUGACCGUCGACGUGAGAGGGGAUGCCGAGUCUGCGGCUUCGGCCAAGGGCAAGGAGCAGCGAGCCAUACCGGCAAGAAAAGCCGCUAGGGAGAACUUCUGGUGCCCGUACCGCAAACCGACGCAGGUGGGCUGGGAUGAAUGUCCCGAGGUGAACGGGAGACCCUCAGCGAAGGAACUCGGCAAAUUGGCCCCGUACCUUCGGAAGAAGGGGCACCACUUGGUGUGUAGGCCCUCGCGGCUCGAAGCACCUGGGUGGUCGCAGGGAACCGGCUCAACCGACUGUUUACCAAAAACACAGGUCUCCGCGAAGUCGCAAGACACCGUAUGGGGGCUGACGCCUGCCCGGUGCCAGAAGGUUAAGGGGAGGGGUUUACGCUCUGAACCGAAGCCCUGGUGAACGGCGGCGAUAACUAUAAUCGUCCUAAGGUAGCGAAAUUCCUUGUCGGGUAAGUUCCGACCCGCACGAAUG